AAAAAAAAAAAAAACUCACUUGUUUGGGUUUAAAGUCAGGUUGGACAUGAGCGGGUUCGGAUUAGCCCAACCCAAGUUACACCCCUAGUUGGCAGAUGUUGUCGAUAAUCUAACAUAAGACUUCUUCACUUGUAAUAACCUCGUACUUAUAAAUGAAGAGAAAUAUCAUUAGACUUAGCAUUACAGCCUAAUGAUAUUUUUAUUCACUUUUCACUUGUAAGUGAGGUUUUAGGUUUGAUUCUCGCCGAAUGAUGAAAUGUGGUGGGGCCCCGACAUGCAUAAGAAACAAGUGUAGGGAUUUUAACAUAUGCAUGUCCGUGUAGAAUCUAAACCACUUCUUCUCACGAGUUGUGUUUUUUCAUGUGCUGCUUUGCUCCCACCAAAAGCUGCAAAACGGGUCGGUGCCUCGAGUCUUUAGUUUCACUUCACUACACUUUUAGGGGUAUUUCUAAAAUAUAAUUUGAGAUAUUUCACUACAAAACAUUUAUUUCAAGAAUAUAAUUUGUAGAUUAAAAUAGUGGAUAUUAUCUUCCAAAACAAAUUAUAAUAUGUCGAUUAAAAUAAUUAAGAAUAUCUCCACAAAAAAAAAAUAUAAUCGUUUUGUGUAAAAGAACAUAUAAAUAAUUAAAUAUUUCACAAAUAGGUAUGCAAAUAUUCGUAAAAAUGGAAAGAUUUAUGAUAAGAUUAGUCGUGAAUGAGCACAAGCGAUUUCUGACAGUUGAUGAAAAUGUGGUGUCCAAUUACGAGUUUUAUACACAUUUACAAUUCAAAGCUCAAGUAAUUGAUUUCAUCGUGACUUAACACUAAUAAGGUAUAUUAAUAAUCGAACGAAAAUGAUUUUUGGUUUAUAUGUUCUUUUAUAGGAAUGAGUGGAUGAAACUUGAAUAAGUAACAUGUGUUGCAAAAGCCAGUAAUACCUUAUUAAUUACUUACAACUUAGGGUUUUAACUCUUCUGAUAUCUUUCAUCAUUGUAGAUGAAUAUUGGACAAGAAAUUAAAAAUUGAGGUUUCACAUCAUGAGAUCGCAACAGUCGUAGUGGGCUAUUAAUUACUAGCAACUUAGAACUUUAACACUUCUAAUAUCAUUCAUCAAUAUAAAUGAAUCCUGAACAAGAACUUAAAAAUUGAGGUUUCAUAUCAAGAGAUUGCAAGAGUCGGUAGUGCCUAUUAAUUAUUGACAGCUUUAAGCUUUAAUGCUUAUAACAUCAUUUAGAUUUAAAUAGAAUCUCAUGUGCUACAUUCUCAUAUUAUAAAAAUGAAAGCUUUUGCUACACAUGUUUUGCUAUUAUUAGAAACAAAUACAAUAUAGCAUCUUUAUUAGUAAAAUAUCGACUUACGUGAUCAACGACUCAAAUUAACAAUGUGGAAAGACAGUUGAUGAAAAUGUGGUGUCCAAUUAUAGGCUUCAUACACAUUUAUAAUUCAGAGCUCAAGCAACUGACUUCAUCGUGACUUAACACUAAAUAGAUAUAUUAAUAGUCGAACGACAACGAGUUUUGGUUAUAUGUUCUUUUAUAGGAGAUGUAUUUGUUGAUUUGCCUCCUGAACUUGUAUGGAGCUGUCAAUUUCCCCCUGAACUUUAAUUUUAGCCCAUUACCCCCUUGAACUUUUUUAACUAGCCAAUUUCUCGCUUGAACUUUAAUUUUAGCCGAUUACCACUAAACU
rnacentral:lncRNA from 1 species